rnacentral:tRNA from 1 species
GGCUAAGUGGUCCAAUGGCAAAGCGCUCGUUGCGGAGCCAGAAGGUCCUGGGUUCGAUCCCCAACAAAGUCA